UACCUGGUUGAUCCUGCCAGUAGCAUAUGCUUGUCUCAACGAUUAAGCCAUGCAUGUCUAAGUACGCACGGCCCGUACAGUGAAACUGUGAAUGGCUCAUUAAAUCAGUUAUGGUUCCUUUGGUCGCUCGCUCCUCUCCUACUUGGUUAACUUGUAAUUCUAGAGCUAAUAC
rnacentral:ncRNA from 1 species